UUACCAUCAGAACAAUAACACUUCUUUACCAUCAGAGACAUUCUCCAUUGUACACAGAGUACAGAUCAAUUCCAGUGAUACCCAGCUCAGAUACUGUAAUGAAGUCCAUGAAGAAAUAUAAAUAGAAAUCCACUUUAUGAAGAACUUGGCUUAUUCUUAAAUGGGUGAAAUCGGAUUAAAAUGGCCAGCAUGAAGAGGCAUCAGAAUGGGGAAGAUGCAGUCUUGCUGUCACCCAGGCUGGAGUGCAGCGGCACAAUCUCCAGUCACUACAACUUCCGCCUCCCGGGUUCAAGCGAUUCUCCUGCCUCAGCUUCCUGAAUAGUUGGGAUUACAGUGAAGCCUAAAGAGUCAUCCUCCAACCUUGACAACCCUUCACCAUUAUAAUGGAACAAGUCCCAGAUGAGAACAACAGCCAUCUCAGGCAGUCACAACUUUCUGCAGUAGAAAUUCAAUGAGAGCCUCUGAUGGAUACAAAACACUGUGUUGGGAGCUGCGGUGACAAGAUCGAACGGACACAGAUGACCCUUUCAAAAAAUAAAAAGAGCUCAAGAGUCAUAACAAAAGAUGUGAACAAACAUCACCAAUGAGAGGUACAAGGUGAUCAGAGGCAUGAUGGUCUAAGUUUUCAGGAAAAGGAGCAGCUACUUCCAGUUGGUAGAGCAUUAAGGAAAU
ensembl:lncRNA novel transcript